rnacentral:lncRNA from 1 species
CUCUUCCUAAGGACAACUGAAAGGUGUUCAUGUUGUUCAGAAGACUGUUUGCUCUACAAAGAAAAGCCUCUUCAAAGAAGCACCACAGAAUCACUCACGUUGAUGUUAAACGCAUUUUGCGGAUACAGAGGUCUCCCGGUAGAAGACUAAUGUUCCCAACUCAACAAGGUUGUUGA